rnacentral:lncRNA from 1 species
UAUAAUAAUAACAUCUUUGUUGGCCCAGUCGAAGGCACCCUUGAGAUCAACGAAAGCUCUAAGGCUAGUAUUAACGCUUUGGCCACUAGGUAUACGAUAAAGGAAGAUUAGAACAUGGCUAAGGGAUGCUGGCGUUGGGUAGCCUGUACGUGACGGAGAAGCAGAGACGAGGGAAGGGAGGCGGAAGGUUGAAGGUAGCCCGGCAGGGUGGAUGGGACAAGGGGGAGUGUGUGGCGUGAGGAUAACAAGCAGUUAGCAGCGUCUUGUUCCAUGUCCCUGUGCGAAAGUAUGGCAAGAAAACAAAUCGAGUGCGGUAUAUAAUUAAUCUCCCACCAAUCUCAUCUUUUUCUUAGCGCUGAAAUGUGUCUCGGUGAGCACAAAGUUAGUGUGAUCUUAUAGUGAGGUGUGGAUGUGAGGGCGUGAGGUGGGAGUGUGUCAGCCAAAGGAAGGGCAGCGCAUUCGAAGACAGCCGAGGUGAUCCCACACCAGCUGAACAUAUCCUCGGCCUUUUGUCUUGUGGCGGCGGGCGAGUGAGGUUCCUUGUGUGUGUGCGCGUGGCGUCGCGGUUAGUGAAGUGAUGCUGUGCAUUAGUUUAUCCUAUUGAGUGCGUCUUCCUCGCGUUGGAUUUGGUGAGUACCCAUAUCACAGGUCACACCGUGGGACUGUCACCGCUGGAGCAACCCUUCGGAAUAAAGUAAAGUACGUUAAUUACGGUUUGCUAGGCGUUAGGUGUUAGGCACAAGGCGAUAGGCGGCGCGGCUAACCAUUCUCUUCCAGGUACAUGUUAAUUAUCUAGUCUUCCCCAGUAAUGCUUUGGUUAGCGCACCGUGGCGGCGAUCCAGGAGCCUCGUGCUGGUGGUGGUGGUGGUGGCGUGGCUGGCUGGCUGGCUGGCUGUGGCGGGCGUGCACGUGCUAUCAUAUGUGACUGUGCGGCGGCAGGGGUGAGGAAGGGAGACGUGAGGGGCGGCCAGGUGGUGGUGGACAGUGACCGGCGCCCGCCACAGUGACAAGCCUACACGAACAUAGUGACAAUAGCCAUGAUAACAACGAAAAGAACAGCGUGUGUGUAGCCUCGGUAAACACGGACACAAGAUGGGUUAGGAUGUCUGUGUGUGUGUGGCUGGGGGUGAGUGGGGUACCUACUGCUGGUGACGGCAGCAGCCAAGACCAGCCGCAGUCUUCACCAGCAGCAAACGUGAUUACCCGUAUCACAGGUCACACCGUGGGACUGUCACCGCUGGAGCAACCCUUCGGAAUAAAGUAAAGUACGUUAAUUACGGUUUGCUAGGCGUUAGGUGUUAGGCAUAGGGCGAUAGGCGGCGCGGCUAACCAUUCUCUUCCAGGUACAUGUUAAUUAUCUAGUCUUCCCCAGUAAUGCCUUGGUUAGCGCACCGUGGCGGCGAUCCAGGAGCAUCGUGCUGGUGGUGGUGGUGGUGGUGGCGUGGCUGGCUGGCUGUCUGUCUGUCUGUCUGUGGCGGGCGUGCACGUGCUAUCAUAUGGUAUGUGAAUGAUUGAGUUUCGUAGGGUUAGUGAAAUGAUGGCCCUUGACAUUGAUUCCUAAUGCUUGUGGCUUUAUUUAACUGUUUUCGGUGAGCAGUGACUGUGCGGCAGCAGGGGUGAGGAAGGGAGACGUGAGGGGCGGCCAGGUGGUGGUGGACAGUGACCGGCGCCACAGUGACAAGCCUACACGAACAUAGUGACAAUAGCCAUGAUAACAACGAAAAGAACAGCGUGUGUGUAGCCUCGGUAAACACGGACACAAGAUGGGUUAGGAUGUGUGUGUGUGUGGCUGGGGGUGAGUGGGUACCUACUGCUGGUGACGGCAGCAGCCAAGACCAGCCACAGUCUUCACCAGCAGCAAACGCUCAGGCGUGUAGAUGGGAGCAGGAGAAGAAAGAACAAAGGAAGAGGACGAAGAAGAAAG